UGGAUAAGAGGAUCAGAUUUGUGGACAAACAAACGGAGAACUCACAAAACUCGAUACUCCCUCUCCGCUCCCAGCUACCUCAUUCUCCAUCUUUACCCUUCCUCACAUCUCUGUUCUUCCUCUCCAAUUUCAUUCAGUCGUUUCCACCGCAACUGUAGCUCCCGGAUCACCUUUAUCCGCUCCGAAGUCCAAUCAACGUCCGCCAUCCCAGCCUCAUCCAACCGAACAAACACCGCCCUGCCCUGUAAACUUCCGAACCUUCAGCCAACUACCUCGAUCUCAUUCCUCUCUCCGUUUGAUAUUGAUUUUGUUGUGAAUUUAAUGAUA